GAAGGGUGCUAGCGUUGUUCGGAAUCACUGGGCGUAAAGCGCGCGUAGGCGGCUUUUCAAGUCAGGGGUGAAAUCCCACAGCUCAACUGUGGAACUGCCUUUGAAACUGUAAAGCUAGAGUGUCGGAGGGGAUAGCGGAAUUGCUAAUGUAGAGGUGAAAUUCGUAGAUAUUAGCAGGAACACCGGUGGCGAAGGCGGCUAUCUGGACGACAACUGACGCUGAGGCGCGAAAGCGUGGGGAUCAAACAGGAUUAGAUACCCUGGUAGUCCACGCUGUAAACGAUGGAUGCUAGCCGUUCGGGGGUUACCCCUGAGUGGCGCAGCUAACGCGUUAAGCAUCCCGCCUGGGGAGUACGGUCGCAAGAUUA
rnacentral:rRNA from 1 species